UACCCAUCUCUUAAACUGUAUCCAGUGCCU
rnacentral:piRNA from 2 species